UACAGUCUUAAAAGAUAUUAGAUAUGUU
rnacentral:piRNA from 1 species